GCAUGAAGCCAGAGGAACAUGCAGUUAACAACAUACAAGAAAUCUCCCCAUCUAGACAGAGUUUGGAAGGAGAGACAGCUUCAUCCUGAUUGCUCCCCAAGCUCCCAUUUGUGAGCUCCACUGAACAAGACACGUUUCUUCAAAAGGCUGAACAAUGCUCAGACAGAUGGAUUCAUAAGAGUACAGGAUUGAAACAGUAGGAUGGAUCCACUUCAAAUGUCACCUGGUCUUUGGCAGCUCAAACAUGUGGCUCUCUACAAGCAAGGUCUGAGAGAUGCUCUGCUCUAGCUGAUACUGUUGCAAAGAGCCGGCAGAGGAAAUCACUGAAGGAAAUCUAAAAGCGUUCCACUACCAAACAGGAAGCAAAGCAGCACCAAAAAGCUGUGCUGUUCACUGGGGAUCUGUUCAAACGAGAUGGUGUUGAAGAGAUUCAACCCAGGAUAGGAUGCUGCAAAGAUGAGUUUAAAGACUUGUAACAGAAUGAAAUGGAGCCUAAAAUUAGUACAGGGUGUUUUGCCUCUGCUCUAUAUUCCUGUCUGAUGUCGUGAGAUCGUAUCACUACUAGAGGCAAACGCUUUCUCACUGCUGCUGCUGUGAAAGGAUAACAGAAGAUGCCAAAACCUCUAGUGAGGCAUAUUAAAUGAAAAUCACUAUAAACUUUUCUACUGUCCUUCUGUCACUGUACAGUAUUUCAGUGUUAAUGUUUUGAUUCAGUAGUUACAUAUCUAGCAAAGAGCAAAGCUGUGCCUGAUUUCACAAUAAACAGCUUUUAAUGGGGUACAUACAACAUUAGCAAUAUUUUGAGUGGAAAACAUGAGAUGGGAGUUUGUUGCUACGGGUUUUAGGGGCUUAAGUAAAAAUUAAAUUUGGAAUAGCCUCAGAAAGCUCACUUACCUCUCGCUGUUGCAAGUAACAAUCCAAAUAAACUCCCACAUAAACCCCCCUGCAAGCUGAAAAAUAAUCCUAGAGUAAAAUCUAGUUUCAAAAUUAAGCCACCUUAAUUUUAAUAUUGUUUCUAUGCCCAG
rnacentral:lncRNA from 1 species